CACAUAGGGAGCCUGGUCUCUACCUGCGGCGUAUAAGCCUUAGAUGGACAUACAAACUAGGUAGGAGGGCACCCACUUGGCAGACAGGGAUCAAAAUUAAUAAUCAACCGGCAUGGCGGAUUAUUU
rnacentral:sRNA from 1 species